rnacentral:rRNA from 1 species
UACGUAGGUGGCAAGCGUUGUCCGGAUUUAUUGGGUUUAAAGGGUGCGUAGGCGGUCCUAUAAGUCAGUGCUGAAAUAUCUCGGCUUAACCGAGAGGGUGGCAUUGAUACUGCAGGACUUGAGUAGAGUUGAGGUUGGCGGAAUUGACGGUGUAGCGGUGAAAUGCUUAGAUAUCGUCAAGAACACCGAUAGCGAAGGCAGCUAACUAAGCUCAAACUGACGCUGAGGCACGAAAGUGUGGGGAUCAAACAGG